GCAAUGCCAUAUCCUUUAACCCACUGCACUGGGCCAUGGAUUGAACCUGAACCUUCACAGCAACCCAAGCUGCUGCAGAUUCUUCACUCACUGUACUACAGUGGGAACUUUUGGGUCCUCUGUUCUACCCUAGAUUUUAAACCCCAAACUUACCCUAUUCAAACCAUCAAAAUUGAAAUUUUGGAUGGUUUCAGUACUAUUGACUAUAUAAUGUACUAGGAUUAAGUUUCCAGUCAUAAAAUUUUGUUUAUCGACUUCUGUAACUAAUUUUUAUAUGCUCUAAUAUAUCUGUAAAAGCAUAAUUAUUCCAAAUGCCCAAGUACCUCAGAUUCCUUUUUUACCCCUUGGAUAACCCCCUUCCUUAACUGUCUUCCUACUCUAACUUCUUUUGGUCAAUAUUAGGAAUCCCUUCCACGGUUCACCCUGGGGAAUAUCUUGUUUCAUGAAUGCCAUCUCCUUUAUGUAUUUUCCUUAACAUAUUUUCCAGUCUCUUCUAAAAGAGGGGUUCCAGCAGCCAUACUGUUUUCUGAUUCCCUGCAUACUUAAAAAAUGUUAUGUUGCAUCCUGUUGCUUGAGGGAACUUGGCCAACUAUAGCUCUCUCUCUCUCCUUACUGUAUGGUCUCUCUCCUCAGAGGCUGUAAGCAACAUUCAGCUAUUGAGCAUGACAGUUUUUUUGUUUUGUUUUGUUUUACCUUUUAUUCUGUUCUACUGUACAGCAUGGUGACCCAGUUACACAUGUAUGUAUACAUUCUUUUUUCUCACAUUAUCAUGCUCCAUCAUAAGUGACUAGACAUGGUUCCCAGUGCUACACAGCAGGAUCUCAUUGCUAAUCCAUUCCAAAGGCAAUAGGUGGCAGAAAAAGCACUGUAAAUCUGCUAACAUUGAAAAAUGUUAUACUCACCAGCCUCCAUGCAGUGAAGGUAAAAAUAGAGGUUUACAAUACCCAGAAGUUCCCAAAAGCACAGACUAGAAUUCUUCAGAAACAAAUCAUUCUUUCUGCCCCAGGUUUUGACAUUAUCAAACUUUCUAUCCAAUGUCUCACCUAGGGUAGGGCCUCAGAUCUUACUCCUCCCCCCAAAUCAGCCUGCUCACUUAUAAUGUCGUAACAUACUGAAUAGGCUAGGGUUUUAGGCUGUUUUUCAUGCCUCUACAGUCAUUUCUCAUCAUGCUGUGUAUCUCUUUAAAAACUCUGCAGAGAAGGAGAACAUCCUUCUCUUAAUAUAUUAUAGAUGACAGCUCAUAUUAAAUGGAAUCUUUUUUUUCCCCUACUGUCAGUACUUUGGGUACAAUUUUUUAAUGCAAAUAAUUUUCCCCCUUCAGAUUGUUAGCAUACCUCUAAAAUGCUGUGUGAAGUUGAAAUUGCUUAGUACAUUUUAUUGUUGAUUUUACUCCAAUUUCUUGUCCAUGGUUUAAAAAUGAAAUACCUUCAGGGAUUUGAAGUCAUUAUUCCACUGACUUCUAGGACCCAGUAUUGCUAUUCCACUCCAAUUCCUAGUUCAAAUGUUUACUUGCUAUAUCAGUGUGGACUUCACUGAAGAGCAAGCAAUAGUAAGCUGAUCUUUUUUUAGAGGGCAUCCAGAAACUUCAAGGUAAAAGGGUAAAAUAAACCAUUCAGAUUUAGAAAUAUCUUUGCAAGCAGACCUUGGGUUUCAAUUACUUCUAUUUUUGCUAACUUAACCUUUAAUAUUUUAUAAGUAUACUAAAAAAUAAAAUUUAUAAACCAAACACAUGUAGACAGCAAAAGUGUCGCUUUAGUAGCCAAAGGAUUCUGCAUUUUCUAACUUAAAUAGAAAUAUAUAUAUGUAUACACACAUACACACACAUAUAUAUAUAUGACUGGGUCAUUUUGCUGUACAGCAGAAAUCAACAUUGUAAACCAAUUAUACUUCAAUUUAAAAAUUAAAGGAAAAAUGUGAUUCCUUAGAAUAAAACUAACCUUUUAUCAUUAAAACAUAAAAUACCAAUAAGUCUGGCUAAAUUAAAUAUGAAUCAAAUCUGUUUAUUGGCCUGUUUUCCUGCUUCUUGGUAACUGCCUCUGCUUAUCACUUAUUUCCUUUUCCAUGAAUCCAACUCAAAGAUACCUACGAGACUAAAACUAUUUUAAACAAUUGAGGAAAACGGUUAAUUGUAAAAGAGAACUAAAUAUGAAUAUAUAAAAUUCAAAAUUAAAAAAUACAUAAAAGUACAUAUCCAAAAUCUUAUAUAUUGACCAUCUAAACAGUCUUAAUUCACCAAACAACUGGUCAGAUUUUAACCUCAUUUUCAACACAUUCUCACUGAGUAAGAGUGAGGGUAAGAAAUUUCCAAGUUCCUGCCCUUUCUGAUCCAUUGAUUUGAUCUAUGACCUUUCUGUCUUGACACUGGUGAACCCCAAUUUUACAAUCUAUAAAACCAUUCCUUCUAGAUUUACUAUUCGACAAAAUAUUCUGGUCUUCAUAUACUUUAGAAAAAAAUGAUGCAACCAACCUGCCUCUUUACAGUAUGCAGUUCAAAAUGAUGCAUGCCUUCUAUAUUACUUAUGUCACUCGAUGAUCUAAAAUUUAUUAUACUUCAGUUAUUUUUAUGUAUCUUAUAUAACUAAAAUAUUGCAUUAGUGGUGACUGCAAAAGAAUCUUCAACCUAAAUUUAAAUAAUUUAAAGUAGAAUUGGAAAACUACCGAAAACAUCGUGAAAUAUAUAAUACCCAACAUUCCUACAAUAAAUUUUUUUCUCCUCUUGGGAAAAAAGGUUUUAUGCUAAUAGCAGUGAAGAAAAAGAUACUAUCUAGAAUUCUCAUCACAAAAUACAACUCUCAUGGACGCCUUCCAUAGACUGAUAUACUUCUGCCUUUGAUAUUCUCUUUGCAGUUAUGAGCAUUUUUAGUUCUCAAAUACAUGUAUUAUAAAGCAAAGAAACUGAAAGGAAAGUUUAGGGAUAAUGAAGAUUGGGCUUUUCCUCCCAAGAUGCACAGAGUAAAUAUUUUGUAUAAAUUUGGUGCAAAAUAUUUCAAAGUUGAGAUGUGCUAUCCUCUCAACACUAGUCUAUUCAUGCCUUUGGAUGAUCUGUGCAAGCAUUGUAAUGGAGACACUUAGCACCUUCCCAAACUUUAUUUGUCCUUCUACAAUCCUAAUUAUUAUUACAUGAAUGUAGCAAUAUCACAAGAGGAUUUAAAAAUUAUUUAAUUCAUAAUUCAGGAUUGUCAUGAGAUCAGUGUAAUUGAAUAUUUAAAUAUUAGACAGUAGCUUCACAAUGAAAAAGCACUUUCAAUUUUGUUAAAAAGUGGAAACUUCAACAUUUCCCUUGUUUUAAUCAUCGAUAUUUUUUCCCUUGAAUGUUAAGUCAGUAUAACUAGCUAGGUAGGACUGUUAAAUUAAGAACGCAGAAAAUAAGCACAUAUGCCCCCAGUAUAACCACCAUUCUACUUCAAGCAUAUUUUUGAGAAAGGCUUCCUCACUAACCAUAGAAAUAGGAUUAAGAUAGGCUGAACAAAUUUCCUUACUUCACACGACUAAGUAUCUGGAAUCCUUGCCCCCGUCCCUAAGGAAACUAACAGUACCUCCUGAUUCUUAAAAUAUUUAUAGGCCAUUUAUUAAGAACCACAAAAUUUCAGUAGGUAGAUUGAAAAUAAAAAGAUAUUAAUGUUCAAUACCUAUGCAUAAUUUAGUAAGAAUAAACUUGAUUUAAUAAAAUAGACAUUAACUAGGAUAUUAAUUCUAUAUUAAUUUUAUAGUUAAAUAAUACAUUUGUAUACAGUUUAUCUAUGCUAAUACAAAUACAACAUAAUUCGUAUAAAUGAAAUACAACUGAGUCAAACAACUGAAAUACAAUAUAGAUAGCUAAUACAAUAUAUUUAGUAAAAGAAAUUUAGGGAGCAAAGCUUUCCAUUGAUGGAAGUAUCUCUGAGUUUAAAAAUCUAAAAUCAUUUUCCUAAAGGGUUCCUCCUAAAGUAUCUAAUUGUAAUUCUGUGACCCUAAGCGAUAACAUACCUGUAUGAAAUCAAUUUUUAUUUAAAUAUGACCCAAAUUUGAGUCUUAAGUAUACAGGUACAGUACCCCUAGAAUCUAUAUAAUUAUUUGUUUGAAGGGUUAUCAAGAGGAAUAACUAUUUCUCUAAAAUAUAGACAUUUUAGGCUGACUUUUCAAAAAGCAAUGCUUUAGAUUCUCAGAGAUAUUCUGCAGAUUUCAUGACUUAGAUUGAGGGUUAAAAAUAUUUAGAUACAAAUGUUAUACUACAAUAAGAAAACUGUGAACAAUGUUAAGAUUUCAUCACAAUUUAUUGAUCCAAGAUUCAUAGCUCUUGAUUAAAUGGUCAGGAAUGUCCGUCAGUUAACCAGAUGACUCACACAUCAGGUUACUGAUUUACUUUUAUGUUCAGUGUUUUGAUGUUGUUUCAAGAGUAAAGAAAAGACGGUUCCUGGUAAAUGAAAUCCUAAUUUGUAAUUGUAAAAUUGUGCGAUUCAGGGCUGAGUUAUCACUUUGCUUCAUUUGACCAAGCAAUUAAGACACAUAUUUUAAUUGUGCUGGAUACUUGCCCUCUUGCCAUAACAUAAUGUCCUCAAUGCUGCCUACAUGGUUUUAU
rnacentral:lncRNA from 1 species